rnacentral:rRNA from 1 species
UUACAGGACUCGCAAGACUCCCGUAAACCACUGUGAACUUACCUACAACCCGUUGCCUCGGCGGGUGCUCCGGGCGCGUCUUCGGGCGCUCCGGGGCGCUCCAGCCCGCCGGCGGCCCCUAAACUCUGUCUCUGUAACGUUGGCAUCUCCGAGCAGACUAUAAACGAGUCAAAACUUUCAACAACGGAUCUCUUGGUUCUGGCAUCGAUGAAGAACGCAGCGAAAUGCGAUAAGUAAUGUGAAUUGCAGAAUUCAGUGAAUCAUCGAAUCUUUGAACGCACAUUGCGCCCGCCAGCACUCUGGCGGGCAUGCCUGUCCGAGCGUCAUUUCAACCCUCAGGCCCCGCCUGGCGUUGGAGCCCUGCGCAGCGCAGGCUCCCAAAGACAGCGGCGGGCGCGCCCCGGAACCGAGCGCAGUAAUGCUUUCUCGUUCUGGUCCGGCGCGCGCUCCGGCCGUAAAACCCCCAACUUUCUAAGUGGUUGACCUCGGAUCAGGUAGGAAUACCCGCUGAACUUAAGCAUAUCAAUAAGCGGAGGAAAAGAAACCAACAGGGAUUGCCUCAGUAACGGCGAGUGAAGCGGCAACAGCUCAAAUUUGAAAUCUGGCCCCCCGGCCCGAGUUGUAAUUUGCAGAGGAUGCUUCUGGCGCGGUGCCUUCCAAGUCCCCUGGAACGGGGCGCCAUAGAGGGUGAGAGCCCCGUCUGGUUGGCCGCCAAGCCUGUGUGAAGCUCCUUCGACGAGUCGAGUAGUUUGGGAAUGCUGCUCUAAACGGGAGGUAGACCCC